CAUGUAGAUCCAAAGGCGGAGUGCUUGCGGACGGGGGUUCAAUUCCCCCCGUCUCCACCA
rnacentral:tmRNA from 1 species